CAAGGUCAGACAAGCACGUGUUCGGCUGUUAUGGCUGCCGAAAUGGGGAGCUGGUCCCUUCAGUUUUUCUCAACAGAGUUUCUCUGUGUAACUUUGGAGCCAGCCUGUCCUGGAACUCUCUUUGUAGACCAAGCUGGCCUCGACUCACCGAUAGCCACCUGUUUUUGCCUUCUGAGUGCUGGGAUUAAAGGUGUGCAGUCUUUCAGCCUUAAUUCAGUAGCUGAUGGAAGCAGAAACAGACACCCACAGCUAAAUACUGAACUGAACUCCUGGAAUCCAGUUGCAAAGAGGGAGGAGUGACGAGCAAAGGGGUCAAGACCAGACUGGAGAAACCCACAGAAAAGCCGACCUGAACAAAGGGGAGCUCAUGGAUCCCAGACUGUUAGCUGAGAACCAGCAUAGGACCCAUCCAGAUGCCCUGAACGUGGGUGUCAGUUAGGAGGCCUGGGCAGUCUAUGGGGCCUCUGGCAGUGGAUCAGUAUUUAUCCCUAGUAUAUGAAUAGACUUUGGGAGUCCAUUCCACACAGAGGGAUGCUCUCUCAGCCUGGACGCACAGGGGAGGGCCUGGGCCUGGGCCCUGCUCUAAAUGAUAUGACAGACUGUGAAGAUCCCCACGGAAGGCCUCACCCUCCCUGGGGAGCAGAAAGGGGAUGGGAUAGGGGGUCGGUGGGGAGGUGGGGGAGGAGGGGAAGGAGAGGGAACUGGGAUUGACAUGUAAACAAGCUUGUUUCUAAUUUAAAUAAAAAAGAAAAAAG
rnacentral:lncRNA from 1 species